CUUCGGGCGGCACCAGUGGGGAAUUUUGGACAAUGGGCGCAAGCCUGAUCCAGCAAUGCCGCGUGCAGGAUGAAGGCCUUCGGGUUGUAAACUGCUUUUGUACGGAGCGAAAAGGCUCUCUCUAAUACAGGGGGUUCAUGACGGUACCGUAAGAAUAAGCACCGGCGAACUACGUGCCAGCAGCCGCGGUAAUACGUAGGGUGCGAGCGUUAAUCGGAAUUACUGGGCGUAAAGCGUGCGCAGGCGGUUAUGUAAGACAGAUGUGAAAUCCCCGGGCUCAACCUGGGACCUGCAUUUGUGACUGCAUGGCUGGAGUACGGCAGAGGGGGAUGGAAUUCCGCGUGUAGCAGUGAAAUGCGUAGAUAUGCGGAGGAACACCGAUGGCGAAGGCAAUCCCCUGGGCCUGUACUGACGCUCAUGCACGAAAGCGUGGGGAGCAAACAGGAUUAGAUACCCUAGUAGUC
rnacentral:rRNA from 1 species